rfam:Trichobilharzia regenti genome assembly, scaffold: TRE_contig0014756
AUCCAGCUGGUAGACGACUCCCAAAUAGGACGAAAUGCGCAUCCUGGAU